ensembl:Y_RNA Y_RNA Y RNA
GGCUGGCCAGAAGGUUGUGAAUUAUCUCAGUCAUUUACAGUCAGUCACAGGUUGGACUUCUGUUUCUAUACUUCCCUCCGCCUCACUGCUGCACCUGACCAGUCUUAA